UAUCGAAAACGUUUUAUUUUCUUGUAAAUUUUAUGAACGGUCUCUCAAGAAUUUACUAAAAGGAAUUCAAUUGACAAUUAUGCUAUGAGAUUUCAAAGGAUUUAUGAAUGCGUUUCAUUUUUUUGCGUAUUUUAAACGAUAAAUCUGGGUGAUGAACAAAUCCCGAAAAUUCUCCACAUUAUAUUGUUUAUUCCCAGACGAGUUUCAUGAUGAUGGAAAACAUUUUGUCGAAGGACAAAACCUAUCGCAAAAAUUUAACGAAUAAAGAAACAUCAUUAAUUUGUUAAUUAACGAUCUGAUGAUCCUCAAAAAAAUCUCAAAUAGUAUAUGUUUUUAAAUAGAAACUUUUGGUUUUAGAACAUUUAUCAAAAAUUGCGGAAAGAUGACGUAGACGCAUUAAAUCAUUUAUUGAUGUUUUGUACAACUUUUGGCUAUAAAAUUUGGCCUUCUCGUGAGAAUGUGUAUGAAGUGUGAUAAUUCACCCGAAUAAAUAGACAAUCAGGGGAAAUAACUCCAGAAGAUGAUAAAAUCGUGAAAUUACUUGGAAUCCUUAAGAAAAAAAAAUUGAUACCGGCAUUAAUUAUCCAUUGGAUACUGAUUAAUUACCAAAUUUCGGUGUAGUUUGACUGAAGGUUUAUUGACAUACUUGGAAGGAUGUGUAUAUAUGUUUAUAACUUAUCAGGCGUUUUUUUCCUCAAAUUUUAUUCGGUAGCAGACAUUACUGGUUGCGGAAACCUAAAUUGAUAUUUAUUCAGUUAUGAAAUUCGUUACUUGUUUUUAUCUCAUUCUAUGUGCGACGCGGUUAGCAUUGGCCGACGAUGGGCCCUGGAAAGUUAGCUUGAAGUGGGAUUCAUUUGAAGAUAUUGAUAUUUCAAGGAACUCGUUAGGGGGCAUUCCCUAUAGAGAAGACGCCAACGAGGAUCUUGAAAUAAUAUUUCUGCAAGAUUAAGGCAAUUCAGGAUAGUAAGAUUUUCCUUCAAAAUCGUUAUGAAUUCAAACUUAUAAAAAAAGAUGAAAUAUAUAUAUAUAUAAAAAUUAUAUGUGCUGAAUCAUUGUAAAUACUUCUCUCAUUGAAAUCGAAGUGCGAACUGAACUCCUCACGUGGCUGCAUGUUUAUCGGUGAGUGCAUACGCGUUCUAUAAAGAUUCUAAAAUUCAUUUUUUGAAUUAUAAAGUUAAAUGGAUGAGGGCCGAUGGGCCCAGGUUGCCGGGCCCUGCCAUAAAAUCCCACGAGUUAAAGAACACUUUUCUGCACUUGUAUCAAAAUAUACUAUUUUCUUCGGUCAGCAUUUUUCU